CAGAAAAUAGUUUAAUAUAAAAUAUAAGCUUUGGAAGUUUAAGUUGAUUAUAUAUCUUUUCUGA
rnacentral:tRNA from 1 species